rnacentral:rRNA from 1 species
AUUGAACGCUGGCGGAAUGCUUUACACAUGCAAGUCGAACGGCAGCACGGGGCAACCUGGUGGCGAGUGGCGAACGGGUGAGUAAUACAUCGGAACGUGCCCAAUCGUGGGGGAUAACGUAGCGAAAGUUACGCUAAUACCGCAUACGAUCUACGGAUGAAAGCGGGGGAUCGCAAGACCUCGCGCGAGUGGAGCGGCCGAUGUCAGAUUAGGUAGUUGGUGGGGUAAAGGCUCACCAAGCCAACGAUCUGUAGCUGGUCUGAGAGGACGACCAGCCACACUGGAACUGAGACACGGUCCAGACUCCUACGGGAGGCAGCAGUGGGGAAUUUUGGACAAUGGGCGCAAGCCUGAUCCAGCCAUUCCGCGUGCAGGAUGAAGGCCUUCGGGUUGUAAACUGCUUUUGUUACGGAACGAAACGGCGAGCUCUAAUACAGUUUGCUAAUGACGGUACCGUAAGAAUAAGCACCGGCUAACUACGUAGCCAGCAGCCGCGGUAAACG